rnacentral:rRNA from 1 species
UAUAAUAAUAAAAGGUUAAACCUGCCCAGUGACCUACGGGUUAAACGGCCGCGGUACCCUGACCGUGCUAAGGUAGCAUAUAAUAUACCCUUUAAUUGUGGGAUAGAAUGAAAGGAUAAACGAAAGUUAGCCUGUUUCCUAGAUAAUACUAUAAAUUAACCUUCAGGUGAAGAGGCCUGAAUGCAAUAAAAAGACAAGAAGACCCUGUAGAGCUUUACCUUCACAACCAUAGAGAAAAAGCAAAAGUAUUUUUCUCUAUUAGUUAUAAAGGUUUAACUGGGGCGGUUAGAGAACAAUAAACUUCUACUUCAUACACAAGGUUAACACACCAAAUCAUAAUCAUGUCAAUAUUCAAAGAAUCAAGCUACCUCAGGGAUAACAGACUAAUCCUUCCUGAGAGUACCCAUUGAAGGAAGGGAUUGGCACCUCGAUGUUGGCUUAGGGUAUCCCAGGGGUCGCAGCAGCCCCUAAAGGUAGGUUUGUUCAAC